AGCGAAACGCGUCUGCCGCAGACAACUGUAGCCCACAUUCUCACUGUGGUUAGUUAGUGUUAAAGAUUGUGUUAAAGAUUGAUUUAUGAAGCGAAGUUUUGUAUUAAUAGGAUUUAUGGUCUCUCCGUAAGAACCCCAUCCCCCCUUUUGUCUCCUGUCAGUGAGAUCAGCAUCUCAGAAAUACACACAAAAAUCGCUUGCUACUCAUUUCAUCGUUCGUAAGUGGAACAAGAGCUGUGUCAACAAGAGAUGUCCAUUUCAUCAUCAAGUCUCCAGUGAAAUGAUUCAUCCAGAGCAGUUGGAUGUCACGUGAGUCUACAAAAAGGCCCAUUCGGAGAUGAGAAGGUCAUCCUUUACAGUGUUAAUAGAGAGGUUCUCCGUUCAGUGAUGAUUGACAGGAAUUGAUCUUCUCAAGGUUCAACCCAUCAACUGAAUCUACUGUAGCUACUGAUCAAAAAUGAUAUGAAUGUGAGACGUCUGUGUGUGUGAUGAGAGCGAGAGGUUACAGUUAAGGUCACAGUGAAUGCUCAUGGGACACCACAAAUAAACCAACUGGAGCAAGAACAAGGUUCAUGUCUAAAUUUUACAUGUUCUGGAAUGUCAAAGCCAUGAAUUAAUAAAGAUCAGAUAAAACCCUUUGUGUGUCCAGCUUCCCAAGUGCACGCAUGUGUGUGUAAGUCACUCAGUCUUUUAACCCCAGUCAGAGAUGUCAGAGCUCCUCAAGGUAAACCAGAAGGAAGUGAAGGAGAGCGAGAGAAACAAAGGGUGCAUUUCAGUCAGCUCCCUAACUCGUGAAUAAGUAUAUUGUGUACACGAAUCCGGGCAUUGGUAAAGACCCAUGUUGUAGAACGUCACCACUGGUAUUUAAUCAUUUUAUUUGUUAUGCUGUGUAAACACAUUGUUCUUCUACAUAUCCUUAAAACAUUUAAGCCGAAUAUUAAUUAUAAAUGUUAACUAGAUGUGUUCACUACCUGUCUAUCGCAUUUAUGCUGACAUAUAAUAAAAAAAAAAAAGGUUUGUCUUUUCAAAACUAUGUUUUAGGUUUCACGCUUAAGAAAUGUGACAUAAUUUCUGGUUAGGGAGCAUAGUGAGCAUCGAUGCUCCCUGGUUUUUGCAGUGCAUUGUGGGAUUUUUCAGGGAGCGAUUGUUCCAGUGCACAGGGCGGAUUUUGCGAUUGAGCCCUUAAAAUGGCCGACUCCUUGAUAAGUGCCCUGACUACUGAACUAGGGAUCUGAUUGAGAUGCACCCAAAGCAGCGAGGUCAGAGGGACAUGAGGGAUCUUCUGUUUGUAAGCAAAGAUUGAAGGUGUGCAGAUGUAGUGCAAGUUGAUUAAAAGUCUAGUUUAAAAUAACAGUUCAUUAUGCAUUUGAAAACUUUAUUUUUUAAAGUUCUAACUAUUAAGUGGUGUAACCAUCCAGGACAAUAUAUUUAUAUAUAUUUAUAUAUAUAUACACAACAGUUCUUUAUGGUUCUCGAAUCUGAUUGGCUGAGAACUAUGCAAUAUUCCCCCAGUAUCAGCACUGGAACCGUUUCACUGUUUGUAUCACUCCACUUGUGGCGACUGUCAUGGCGGUCGAGCAAAUCCACCAUUUAAGAAAAAAAAAAAAAAUGCUACUGUUGUUUUGUCACGAAAUGUAGUUUUAAGAGUUUUUUAGGCGAGAAUGUAGUUAUUAGCACCUAUUUUACAAGAUGCUUUCGCAUAUGCAAGCUCCAGGCCGUCAGCAGCCAUUCAGCACUCAUGUACCUGCAUCUCGGCCAGUCCUUUGGGAAUUUGUCGCUGGCUCUUAUGUAGAUAGUGGUUAAACAUGAGAUAUAAUUCUUUUGGUGUGGUAUAUCAAAUUUAUUCAUUUGGUGUAUAUCAGUCUUUGGUCUUAUUAAUCUAUUACUUGUUCCAGAGCAAAACAAUUUGGGUUAAGGGGAAAUUUAAGUUUAUAUUUAGGUUAUA